GAGUUUGAUUAUGGCUCAGGACGAACGCUGGCGGCGUGCCUAAUACAUGCAAGUCGAACGAACGGAGAAAGAAGCUUGCUUUUUUCAAAGUUAGUGGCGAACGGGUGAGUAACACGUGGGUAACCUGCCCAUCAGAGGGGGAUAACAUUCGGAAACGGAUGCUAAAACCGCAUAGGUUCCUUAGUUGCAUGACUGAGGAAGGAAAAGAGGCGUAAGCUUCUGCUGGUGGAUGGACCCGCGGUGCAUUAGCUAGUUGGUGAGGUAACGGCUCACCAAGGCGAUGAUGCAUAGCCGACCUGAGAGGGUGAUCGGCCACAUUGGGACUGAGACACGGCCCAAACUCCUACGGGAGGCAGCAGUAGGGAAUCUUCCGCAAUGGACGCAAGUCUGACGGAGCAACGCCGCGUGAGUGAAGAAGGUUUUCGGAUCGUAAAACUCUGUUGUUAGAGAAGAAUAAGCAUAAUAGUAACUGAU
rnacentral:rRNA from 1 species